UUUUUUUUUUUUUUUUUUUUUUCAUUUCCUGGGCAGUUAAAAAUGUACAUAUUAACAUUUAUAUAUAUAUAUAUAUAUACACAUGCAUUAGAACAUUUCCUCCCCAGUGGAGUGAUGGAAAAGAAGUCCUCUGGCUACUGAGCAGUAAUCAAGAAUAUUGAAUCUUUGCAUUCCAUAAAUUACUUCAAGGAUAAGAGCUGGAAUAAAUCACAGGCACCCUAAAAGUUUGGGUAAGAGUCCCAAAUCAUUCAGUCAUGGAAAUGUUUGCUAGAGAAUUACUAGCAAACAUGGAACUGUUUGCUAGAGAAUGACUGUGACACAAUGAAUCAGAGUUUAGUGGUUGUCAAGUUAUAAUUGUCAAGAAAAGCCCUAAUACUGCUGAAUCCAGAAUGGAUUUUGACAUAUGGGACAGGGGCACAAAUGAUGUUUUCAAACUAAACUCUGUCCCCAAAAUAAAAAAAAUACAAAAUUUGCAGCAAUAUGAUAUUAAAUCAUAUUAUAUGAAAAUGAAAGUACAUAAAAAAUAAUAUUUAACAAUUAUCUGAAUGCUGUUCUUUGAACAGGAGGUAAAUUAGAUUCAACCUUAGGCAUAAAAAGCCUUCAUAGAAAGUUUGUUGCAAGAACUGAACCCUACACUUUUUAUCCCAUAAUAAAUAUUUCACCUGUGGACUCAUUGAAUCUUUUAGCAGAGCCUCAGCAAAUGCCAGGUUUUGGGAAAUGCCCAAAUCCCUGCAGUUAAACGGGAUUCUUACAGAAAUACCUGGAGCUUUGGCUGGUGCCAGUUCACCAGAGGAGUUUGUUCCUGGAAGUGCAGAAGUAGGCCAGUUCUGCAAAGGGUACAGGGUAAGAUUUAUAAUUACAGCAAUUUCUUCAGUGGAAUAUUGUUAUUCUGGUAAAAUUUUCAUACACUGAUGGGUUUAUCUGCUCCUUCCGACAUAGAGAAGAUGCUGCUUUGUGCAUUUCAUAAUCCUGCAGAUUUAACCAGUUGCUGCCUUUCCUCCUUGUGAUUCCAGCCAGACUGAGCACCACAGCAGCAGCUUACAAAUGUAAUGAAGAAAGAGUAAAUGGUUUAAAAAAAUCUCAAGAUAUCUCCCUUUUUUCUAAACAUCUUUACACUGCAGUCUUUCUCCUUUCUCUUUCUUUUAAGCAGUCAUUUCCCUUUCUUAAAAAAGCAAAAAUCUUUAAAAGACAGAACAGAAGAAAAAAGCUCCUUUAAAAGGAAAGGAGAAAAAAAAAUGGAUUGUGACCCUUAAAAAUAAUUUAAACAUUUUUUCAGAGAGGAAAAUAAAAUCUCACCAUAUCAAGUACUAGAAUUAGAACACAACCAGUUGUAACUUUGAACAGUACCUGUUUACCCAAGUCUCUAAAAGUGUAUGUGUAAAACACAGGCCUUAACAGAGCAAUAUAUUUUUUUUUCCCUAAAAUAUUAUUCUGUCUGUUUUUGCACCUGCAUCUUGGUAAACAAUUUUUAAGCUAUGAAAAAAAAAACUCUGACGGCCAGGAUCAUAUUUAUAGGAACAAUUUGUACUGAAUGUUUGUUCAUGGCAAGGAAUCGAAAUAUUUUAAAAAUUAAACUAUUGUGCUCUAAGUAAUUAAAUGUUAUGUAUUGUUUCAUAAACAAUAAAUUAUAAUAACAGAGGUAGCAUAAUGAAAACUGCCAGCUUGUUUAGCAAACAUGCUAUAGCAUAUAUAUAGUACAGCACAGCUUAAUAUACAGGUCCUAGGAAUGUAUACAUCUUUCUUGAUGAUUUUAGUAAUUUAUUUGUGGUAAUUUCUGGUUUCAAAACCUGAUGCCACGUUCAAAGGAUGGCUACAUUUAAUUAGAAUUUAAUAUGUCCUUAGGUUUUAGCCAAGGGUGGCGUUUGAUCCCACACUCAGAUCUAUGGGCAGAAACAGCAGCAGGCACUGUACAUCAUCUAAUAUUAUCCACCACAGUCAUGUGGAGUAACCAAUUUUACAACACCCAGGCACUACACCCAGGAGUAUUCAGAUAGGAUUGAGCCUUUAGACCUCUCUUGCACCUGCUGACAACACUCACUUCCUACAUGGUUACAUCAUAUUAAAAUGAAACAGGUUGCAGUGCAGAUCUUUUUUGUUGUCACUUUCGACAGAAGUCCAAGUUAUUCACAUAUUUUUGGAGUAGAUUUGAAGUGCAGUAAAAAUAAAGAUUAGGGUGUUCUUUGUGGUUUGCAUAUUUUAAGUUCACAAACAAAAAAACUAUCCAGUAAAUAAAUCAUUGAUACAUUAAGAAUUAUUACCACAGUGUAAAGUGGAAUGUUGAAUUACCUUGGAUAUAUUACCCACAAUGCUUCUCAAGGCAGCAGCUAAUUAGCAGGAGAAAGGUCACACAGAAAAAAUAAUGUGAUUAGAAGAGGUUGAAAGAAAAAAAAAAAUGGCCACAUAUUUGGACAUAGCCCAAAUUUCCUUUUUGCCACUGUAACUGAAAACCAUUGCUUCAAUAUUUAAUGAAAUGCUUAUGUUGCAGCACCUGGUCACAUUGUCAGCAGCGCCUAAGCACUGCCUCCCCUGUGGGUCAUUACUGCAGCCAUCUGAACGGGGGCAAACUGUUCAUCGACUACAAUAAUGCCACUCUUUAAGAAUCUACAGCUACAAAACAGCAGGAGACAGAGUUACUUUGGCUCUGAUCUUGGGAAAAAUGGCUGGGGGCAAAAUGCUGUUUCCUACCAUCAGAGAGUGUACAGUUAGCAAUAAUUCUGUAAGUCAAAGCCCAGGCACCAGCCCCAGCUUGGCUGCCCUGCUCUGCUUUUCCUCCCUUUGCAGAAACCUCGCAGCUCCUGGUGAGAGAUCCCUGUCAACAGCAAAACAGUAGUUCACAGUCCCCUGCUAAUGAUCCAAUGCAUCAAUAGCUCAAACAAUCACAACAAGCAGAUGUCCUAAGUUAAUAUAGACUUUCCUGGGAUUUUACUUGUGAAACAUUGCUUUAAAAGGCAUUAGUCUUUUGUCCUCGCUAGAGAUCUGCUAAAUCCUGGCACCAAUUCCUUGGGUAUGUGAACCCCAGCCUAAUGGAAUUUAAUUACUUUAGUGGUAUUAAUCAUCUGUACAGUAGAGCAAAGAGUAUUUUAUUACCACUUUUAAGGGUUAUCGGCACAUUUAUUUCAAAUGAACUGUCAAACUGCAUUACGUGGAAGGCAUGCCAGGUUUGAAUCCUGCAGCACAGGUGAAAAGACAUUUGCUGCUUCAAACUCUUGGACAUGAUGAGGAUACCUCUGCCUCUUGCAAGAAACGGAAGCAGUUUAUCUAAAAUUAAAAACAAACCAUCUUUGGUUUUAAUGAUCUCUUUUUGCUCAUGUUGGUUUUUAUCAACUUCUAAUCUCUGAGCUGGGAAGGGUGCUCUUUUCCGAGGAGAACAGAAACACCAGUUGGUACCAAAUAACCUGUGACACUAUUACAGGAUUAGUUACACAAGAGCAAUACCAGUCUUGUCCAUUAUCCAGCAACAAGCGCUGGCUCAGUAACACAACGUUUUUCUAAUUCACUUAAAUACACCAAAUCCUCUGCAUUCAUAUACAUGGAAAAGUGUGUCUGCACUCAGCAUAUCUUCUACCCUUGCUCUGAAAAAAACUACACAUGCCUAAAAGGUGUUCACCAAGUCACCAGCAUCUUCCUUUUCUCUUUGCUGGGCAUGUAGCAGCAUAUUUUACACGCUGCAAAAUUGCAACUAAAAUCUAACAAAAAUUAAUACCUAUUGAAAGACUAAUUUUAUUUUAUUUUAUUUAUCCCUUUGGUGGGAAGGUUUUUUUUGUCCUGCCCCCAGACUCUUCAUAGGUUUUAGACCUGUCCUAUACCUGCUUUAAGCACAUUGUUUUGCACUCAUCGUCUCUCAGACAUUCUGCACUGAGCAGCAAAUGAGAGCAAUUUGUGACACAAGAUACUACGACAUGUGGGAAAGACACAUAAUUAGUGUCAGAAUGAAUGCAUUUGCUUUUUAAAGCCUAUUUGUCCUAGGAUUUCAAAUGAAUCAAGCUGCUAUGUCUCUCUCAACAGCUCCAUACUGCUGUAUAAUGAAUUAAAAGAUAGUGUUGCUAAAAUGUAAAAGCUUCAGGAAUAAAAACUGUAUGCAUCUCAAAACCAGGGAUGAGAGGAUCUUAAAAGGCUCUAAACUCUAAUGUAGCCUAUUUUAAAGCCUUCCAAAAAACUAACCCAUUUUGCUAAACAGAGAAUUCUCAAGUGAAAUCACCCCUUCCCAUGACAGAUUACUACAAAUUUACAAAACUACUUUGAGUCUUGUCUUUUUAAAAGGAAAAACCUCAGAUUUCCAUCAUCUUUGCCCCAUAUCUCAGUCAAGUUCUCCUCCCCAGCUCUCUGCAUGCAGCAGUGCACACAGAGCACAUCUCAGUGUCCUGUUCAGACAGUUCUCUCAAAUAAACCUUCCGUCUCUCUUGCCAGAUAUACAUUCUCAUCUGCCUCUGUUUCCUUCCCCUGCUAUCCAGAUAUUCAGAACCAUUACCUGCCAGGCACUAUCAGUGACACUGUUGUGCCUGUGUCCCCCAUCCAGGGACAGCUGGGACCAUCCCAGUAGAGGAAAAAGAGCACCUCAGACUUCUUGCCUCUUCUCUGCACUAACUUCAAGACCAUGACCUGAUAUUUUGCCUUUCUGUAUUUUAAAUAUCUUCAGUGGAUUAAAAAAAAACAGAAAUGUGGUGCUCACCAGUCCCACUCAGUGACCCUAAAAAUGAGUUGGGAAGUGGAUUUGAGGGACCUGAGGCAGCAUUUUUCUUCCAGGCACUUGUAAUCUAGAUUCAUUAACUGAAGUUGGUUGUAGCCGAAAAAUAACUCUUUAACAGCACAUGAGGUUCUCUUAAAAUUAGCAUUCUGAGUAAGCCCAAAUAGCCAGGCUUUGAUCAGGGGAAUAGCGCUUCAGUUAAGCAGGGAAAGAGGGAGUAAGUAGAGCAUUUCUGCACGUAUCUUGGUCCUGCUGGUGCUGAACAUACCCUGAGUUAACAAGAGUAAUGCCCAGCAGGUCACAGGCCCAUCUGACAACCCUGUGGCCAAGGUGUUGGUUUUAAAGCACUGCCCACAGGAAGGCCCUGCAGAUUCAGGUGGCACAUCCUGCAUCCCAGACCCACUAAACAGCCUUCUGCUCCCCCACAGCAGCCCAGAGUUCCUCACUGCAAAGGUGCCGUGUAUUUGCCAGCCACAGGCAGCCGCACAUCCAGCCAGCCGACCUCAGCAGCUAAUAGGAGACCCAUUUUUAAAUGCCACUUUAUGAUGAGGUAACAGAACAAACACACACACACACACACACACACACACAUGUUCCUGUGAGAUAAAUGUCUUGGAAGCAGGCAGAGAUACAAGGCAGAGCCAGAUGCCUUCAGUGACCCUGAAAGAAUGUUAUCUUAAUGUAAUGCACACCUUUGACUGCCUUGUUGUGUUUAAUGCAUAAAGUAGCCUCAGACACAGGUUCAAGAAGAGUUGUGAGAUAUCCCACACGGUGGGUAGAGCUCUGAACUAGCAAGUACUUCAUUUCAAUAUUUACAAAGAUAUUGCUGGACUCUGCACAGUUUUAUCACUGUAUCUGAAGCACCCCGUGUAUCACAGCUCAGGCCCUGCUGCUGUGCUCACACAAGCAAAUCUCAGAGUCUCCUAAGGCAUUUUGCUUAUGGAAAGAGUGCAGAGUCAGACUUAAUUUAGGAAAGAAAAAGGAAUACAUACUGCACCUUAAAGUGAAGAUUCAAUUUUUAAAAUAAGGAAGUCAUUUAUCAGUAAAGCAGUAUGGAAAUUAUGCAGUUGCUCCAGUUUUGUUCUGAUGAAAGCCAAAAGGAGUCUAGUAAAAUGUGGCAGAAUUGGACCCAAGUCUGAUAUGAUUUGAGACCAAUUUUCUCUUGUAGCAGUUACUGGAAAGAAGAAAGCCUGCUUUUUUUCCAGGAAAAAGGUAUAUUUCUUGCCUUGUUCUCAGCAUUUUGUCUUCACUCCAGUAAGUCUCUGGCCAUCACUUUUAGCAUCCAUGGGGUUGCCCAAGCUAAAUGCAGGGAAUUAUAACUGUGAAGUUCAAAGUCCAGCUCUAUUAGCUUUCAAAGGAGCUGUUAAAAGCAGGCGUCUGAUGCGCCAGGAGUGGCAAGACUUGCAUAUAAACUGAAUCUUACAGGAAUGAGCAGUCGUGGAAGUCAAUGGGAUUACUCACAGUGCAGGAAGUUAAACAUGUGCAUCCAUUUCGGGGAGCCUCAUGCAGAGUACAAACACCCUUAAUGCUGUGCAUUGCUGAACUUCCUUGUAGCAUCUCCAAGCUGGCAGCGGUGGCCUUUCACUAAAACUCCGGAGUGGGGCCAAAGUUGGAUUUUGUACAGCUUAGCCUAACCCAUGGAUGCUUUUCAAAGGGACCCAAAAGAGCUGAUGCAUGCAAUUAGCUGGGAGUUGGGGGCGCUUGUCUUUCCAGGCCAGUCUGUCCCUUCUGGUUCAGGUUUAGGAAGGCUUUGUUAAUGCACAAUUAGUAGUUCUUACAGGCCUCUCCCCACAGUAAUGAGACAAAGCAGUACAGAGGAUCUGACUUGCAAAGCUUUACCUGAACAUUGUUAUUAUCAUUUUAGUGCUCUUUGCCUGACACCAGAAGAGAGCUGUUCAUUGCUGGGUGACCUCCCACAAAACAAUCUGGGUUCACCACAAAUAAUUGACCCUGAAGUUUAACUCCAACAAAUAAUAACCAUGUUUUUAGACAGGGCAGUGUUAAAUUGACACAGCAUCAAGCCUGCAGUUCCCUCCAGAGAAGAGGGGUUCCUGAAACAACACAGAAGAUGCCCAGUGGGAACAGUUCAGCAGACAUAACCAUGCCUGGAAUCCCCAGGGAGUUCAGGGAACAGGUCCCUGAGGACGUACCAGGGUACAAACAGCUUUGGGAAAACUACUACAGACUAAAAUCCUACCACAUUCCCCAGAUGCAGCACCCAAGUGGCCUUUUCUAUCUAAUA
ensembl:lncRNA